rnacentral:piRNA from 1 species
UCUAUGAAGAAAAUCUAUUGG